rnacentral:rRNA from 1 species
UACGGAGGGGGCUAGCGUUGUUCGGAAUUACUGGGCGUAAAGAGCUCGUAGGCGGUUUGUCGCGUCUGCUGUGAAAACUCGGGGCUUAACUCCGGGCCUGCAGUGGGUACGGGCAGACUAGAGUGCGGUAGGGGAGACUGGAAUUCCUGGUGUAGCGGUGAAAUGCGCAGAUAUCAGGAGGAACACCGGUGGCGAAGGCGGGUCUCUGGGCCGUAACUGACGCUGAGGAGCGAAAGCGUGGGGAGCGAACAGG